UAUAUCGGAACGUGCCCAGUCGUGGGGGAUAACGUAGAGAAAUUUACGCUAAUACCGCAUACGAUCUACGGAUGAAAGCGGGGGACUCGCAAGAGCCUCGCGCGAUUGGAGCGGCUGAUAUCAGAUUAGGUUGUUGGUGAGGUAAAAGCUCACCAAGCCGACGAUCUGUAGCUGGUUUGAGAGAACGACCAGCCACACUGGGACUGAGACACGGCCCAG
rnacentral:rRNA from 1 species